CAAUGGGGGGAACCCUGAUCCAGCCAUGCCGCGUGUGUGAAGAAGGCCUUUUGGUUGUAAAGCACUUUAAGCGAGGAGGAGGCUUACCUAGUUAAUACCUGGGAUAAGUGGACGUUACUCGCAGAAUAAGCACCGGCUAACUCUGUGCCAGCAGCCGCGGUAAUACAGAGGGUGCGAGCGUUAAUCGGAUUUACUGGGCGUAAAGCGUGCGUAGGCGGCUUUUUAAGUCGGAUGUGAAAUCCCCGAGCUUAACUUGGGAAUUGCAUUCGAUACUGGGAAGCUAGAGUAUGGGAGAGGAUGGUAGAAUUCCAGGUGUAGCGGUGAAAUGCGUAGAGAUCUGGAGGAAUACCGAUGGCGAAGGCAGCCAUCUGGCCUAAUACUGACGCUGAGGUACGAAAGCAUGGGGAGCAAACAGGAUUAGAUACCCUGGUAGUCCAUGCCGUAAACGAUGUCUACUAGCCGUUGGGGCCUUUGAGGCUUUAGUGGCGCAGCUAACGCGAUAAGUAGACCGCCUGGGGAGUA
rnacentral:rRNA from 1 species